rnacentral:rRNA from 1 species
AACAUUUGGAAACAGAUGCUAAUACCGCAUAGAUCCAAGAACCGCAUGGUUCUUGGCUGAAAGAUGGCGUAAGCUAUCGCUUUUGGAUGGACCCGCGGCGUAUUAGCUAGUUGGUGAGGUAAUGGCUCACCAAGGCGAUGAUACGUAGCCGAACUGAGAGGUUGAUCGGCCACAUUGGGACUGAGACACGGCCCAAACUCCUACGGGAGGCAGCAGUAGGGAAUCUUCCACAAUGGACGCAAGUCUGAUGGAGCAACGCCGCGUGAGUGAAGAAGGCUUUCGGGUCGUAAAACUCUGUUGUUGGAGAAGAAUGGUCGGCAGAGUAACUGUUGUCGGCGUGACGGUAUCCAACCAGAAAGCCACGGCUAACUACGUGCCAGCAGCCGCGGUAAUACGUAGGUGGCAAGCGUUAUCCGGAUUUAUUGGGCGUAAAGCGAGCGCAGGCGGUUUUUUAAGUCUGAUGUGAAAGCCCUCGGCUUAACCGAGGAAGCGCAUCGGAAACUGGGAAACUUGAGUGCAGAAGAGGACAGUGGAACUCCAUGUGUAGCGGUGAAAUGCGUAGAUAUAUGGAAGAACACCAGUGGCGAAGGCGGCUGUCUGGUCUGUAACUGACGCUGAGGCUCGAAAGCAUGGGUAGCGAACAGGAUUAGAUACCCUGGUAGUCCAUGCCGUAAACGAUGAAUGCUAGGUGUUGGAGGGUUUCCGCCCUUCAGUGCCGCAGCUAACGCAUUAAGCAUUCCGCCUGGGGAGUACGACCGCAAGGUUGAAACUCAAAGGAAUUGACGGGGGCCCGCACAAGCGGUGGAGCAUGUGGUUUAAUUCGAAGCA